AGCAGAAAAAGACACAAACCGGGGAGGCUGAAAGCAAACAGUUUGCCGUGCAUUAAAAAUCCCACUCACGAGCGCUGACUGACAGCGCGUUUCAGAUGGACCGAAGGUAAGGAGUGACUUUGAGACAAAGAAAGCGAAGCGGGUGGGGGUUGAGGGGGCAGCAAGUUGAAACCUAAGCUCUCUGAACCCUGUUUUCCCUGCCUUCGGGCAUUCUGUGGCUGGUAAAAAUAUGUGCUGUAUAUUUGAAGUGUUAUAUCACGUGACAAAGGCAGGGUUUGUGAAUCAAAGUGCACGACGAUCUCAAGAGGAGGGAAAAAGACAGAGAGAAAGAGAAAGAGGGUGUGCGCUGGUGAGAAGACGACGACGACGAGAGAGACGGGAAAAGCAGAGAGGGAGGUGGAAUGCAACAGGCUGAGCUCUGUUGUCGCUGCAAGUCGGACUUCUGACUGACAAACGCGACCGCGGCGCUACGUUUCAAACUCCCUUCUCCUCCGACUCUCUGAGGCGUUCACAUCCAACAUCUGCAUUCGGACCUGGACAGGACUUUGCUUCCCGCCUCCCUCCUCAGCAUCGCCGCGGCCGGACAGAAGAGCAGCCAGCAGCUGAGCGGGGCUGAAUGGCACUACCCCGAUUCAAAGUCACCAAACGUCCCUGACAAAGAAGCUAAAGAGGAAGACAAAGGAAACAAAAAA